UACGACGGGGGCUAGCGUUGUUCGGAAUUACUGGGCGUAAAGGGCGCGUAGGCGGCCGGGCAAGUCCCUCGUGAAAGCCCACGGCUCAACCGUGGAAUUGCGGGGGAAACUGGUCGUCUUGAGUCCGGGAGAGGAGUGUGGAAUUCCCAGUGUAGCGGUGAAAUGCGUAGAUACUGGGAGGAACACCGGUGGCGAAGGCGGCACUCUGGACCGGUACUGACGCUGAGGCGCGAAAGCUAGGGGAGCAAACGGG
rnacentral:rRNA from 1 species